GACGAACGCUGGCGGCGUGCUUAACACAUGCAAGUCGAACGGAAAGGCCCUGCUUUUGUGGGGUGCUCGAGUGGCGAACGGGUGAGUAACACGUGAGUAACCUGCCCUUGACUUUGGGAUAACUUCAGGAAACUGGGGCUAAUACCGGAUAGGAGCUCCUGCUGCAUGGUGGGGGUUGGAAAGUUUCGGCGGUUGGGGAUGGACUCGCGGCUUAUCAGCUUGUUGGUGGGGUAGUGGCUUACCAAGGCUUUGACGGGUAGCCGGCCUGUGAGGGUGACCGGCCACAUUGGGACUGAGAUACGGCCCAGACUCCUACGGGAGGCAGAAGUGGGGAAUAUUGCACAAUGGGCGGAAGCCUGAUGCAGCAACGCCGCGUGCGGGAUGACGGCCUUCGGGUUGUAAACCGCUUUCGCCUGUGACGAAGCGUGAGUGACGGUAAUGGGUAAAGAAGCACCGGCUAACUACGUG
rnacentral:rRNA from 1 species